GAGUUACCAAAGCGAUUGGGAAAUAGGAGCAGAGGACUGCCCCCAGUCUGACGGCAGCAGGGGUACGGGGGACAGUUCGGGACACUCCGGGGACCGAGCGGGCAGUGGGCGCCUUCCCUGAGGAACACCCAGCCCAGCGCCCCAGGUUCUGGGCUGGUUGGCUCAUCGAGACUGGUUGGCCAAAGCAUCAGGAAAGGGAACGUUUUCGGCCGGGUGUUUGAUACCAAAUUAUAAACGCCAGGGCAGCUUGUGUAAAGGUGAAUAUCGUUUUGUUACUGCGGGAGGGAAUACACCUACUGCUUUGAAAGGAUUUUAAAAUAUUCAGCAAGCAACACCGCAUUGAAACUAGUGCAUUGAGCUGCAGACCAAACUAAUUUCUAGAACAUUCUAAAAAGUAAAAACAAAGUUUGGCAAAAAUGACAACUUUUGCUUGAGAACAGCUCUGGAAGAGCGAAUCCACUGAGAGCCGUGGGAAUUCUCCGCCAGCUGUGCUUCCCCAGCCGAGGAGGAAUCCAACCCGGAAUAUCAUUUCUGGUCCCCACCUCAGAGGCCCCAGCUGGACCCUCUCCCGAAAACUGUUCGGGGAGGGGGGUGCGGUCUCAGCGCCCUCCACUGCGGGGUCCAAGGCUCAGUAGCCGGGCGCGACCCCAACGCUCCAAGCCCAGCAUUCUUGGCAGCUCUCCAGGCCCCAGUCAGAGGCACAUUGACCUUGAAGUUGCACUUGACGUGCCCACCUGGGGCUGCCUGGUGGCGCCUGGGUCAGCUUGAAACCCGCGGGACUAAGGGGUCUAGGUGUGAGGUUCACCAUCCCGCGCCCCCGCCGGAUUUGGGAGCACGGGACCUACCCGGAGGCAGAGAGAUUCCAGCCCAUCAAGUUCCAGAGGUCAAGCCUUUCGGCGUCGUUUUGUCGUCUGUAUUUUCUCAUCCCCUUCGCCAAGUCCUACAAAGCUCACUUCAGAGAGACUGGGUCCACAUGUGUGGGCUCAUGAAGAGGACAGCGAGGGUGACGACGCUGGGGAACUAGCGCGAGCUGGCCUAUUCCUGGCAGUGCGCCAAGGGCCCCCCCGUCUUGCUAGUCUUUCCAAGUUGCUUGGCUAUUCCAAAACUCGACUGUGGAAAAGUUGAAACUUGUUCAUAUAACGUUCUUUCGAAAAGAUUUUCCUUGUCUGUAUCUAUUUUACAGAAAAGAUGUUGGUCCUCACUACUGUUUGGCGACGAGUUAGCCUAAAUUUGGACAGACCUUGAAGAGAAAUCCUGAGCCCUGGGAGGCAGCCUUUUCAGCGCGAGGUGCACACACAGGUCCCCGAGCCCACUACGAGGGUCUCACCUGGGUCCCGCGUGGUCUUUCCCCACCUUGGCGACUUUGAAGGCCAGGGGGACCGUACAGUGAGCGAAUAACUUGGCGCCUGCAUUAUCACUGCUGAAACCCCAGAGAACAAUGUAGGACAUGCGGGUGGAGGUAGAGCAAAACUAGUGAAAAGAAUUUAUGAGGAAUUCAUAACCUCCUUGCCUCCUUGGGACAACUCCUUCAUUCAGUUGUCCGCCCUAGGGGACUGUCAUGCUUAUUUGUGUCACAUGCGUCUCUUCCCUGGAAUCUUAUCAUCACAGAAUAUUAAACAUUUUAAAAAAUUUUAAAGAUUAAACUUGUUCGAGGUAAAAAUGGUAAACACUGUUAGGGAUUGCCUGGCGUGUACGAAUUAAGGAAAGAAAGAAACUGAAAAUUCAGCUCGGCUUUGGGAAUUUUAGCUUUGCGAUUUAAAACCCACAGCGCCAUCUCCUGGUAAUAAGGAGAAUAUAGCGAUGGAUGAUAAUACUGAAAUGCUGACUAUGAAAUACUCAAAUAAGAGAAACGCCUCAAAAAUUAUUUCAGUGAUAGGUUGAUUAUGAUUACAAAACAUGAUCUGACAUGGACAUUUAUUAUCAUUAAAAGUUAUCAGACAGAAUCCUGGAAGCUAAUGAUUUGUAAAUAGAAGUUUGUAUAUUUAUACAUACAUAUAUUUUAUAGAUUCAGAUGCUUAUGCUGUGAAUUUAUGAUAAGAUAUGAUUCUAUAUCAUAAAUACAUAAUUUUAUAAAACAGUUCUCUGUUUUGCUUUUUGUGAAUGAUUUUAACCAUAUACGGUAGAAAAAGAAUAAUAGGAUAUAGUGAUACAUGGAAACAUAAAAUCUCCUAGUUCCUCAUUGCAUUUUACUAGUCAACAUUAGUAAAUACUUCAGUCCCAUUUGUCUCAAUAACCCCUCACUUUAAUCUAAGUCUUCUAUCAUGGAAUCUUACAAAAUGUCUUAUUGUCUUAAUGUUAAGACGUCAUGACAAGAAUGUGUUAACAUUAUUCAUACAUUCUGAUCCUGAAAUAUCAUCUGAAGUUAAAUUAUUUUCCAAAAGUUUGAUGCACAUAAUAGAAUCAUAAAUACCUAAUACUUUUUUUAUUAAAAUGUUUCUGAAGUAUUCUUUCGAGCUUGCUUCCUUUUAUAAAUAAGUUUGAAACACACUAGAAUUUAGAGAUGAUAUCCCUAUUAAAAACAUUUCUCCUCCAUGAUUGUAUACACAGGCCAGCUGCUUGACAUAAAAAUAAAAGUAGAUAUGCUUUCUGUAGUGUACAAAAUAUUAUGAAUAUCCUUCAAAAUUGUAGAUCAAACAGACAAAUAUAAACUUUACUUCAGUUGAAAGAUUCAUUUUAUUUGAUUAAUUAAAGUAAAGCUCUAUUAAGCCAAA